rnacentral:misc_RNA from 1 species
UUCACUUUUUAGCAGUUUGUUGCAUGUUUUUGGGUACUCUUUGUUUAUAGUUUUUGUUUGAAAUCAGUAUAUUAUUAUAAACAGGAUAACUUAAUUAACUCACCAGCUUGUGAAUGAAAAAAGAAGUACAUUUUUUAAAGAGGUUGAAACAAACAAAAUGAGAUGGAUGAUGAUAUCAACUCGGACGAUUUUGAUAAAAUAUUAGCAAAAAUACAAGAAGAGAGCUUGAGGCACUACAAUGAAGUAGAACUACCUCGAGCAGCUGCCCUCAAGGAACAUGAACAGAAGAAAACGUUGAAUGUUUCGGAGGCAGAUAUUUUCAUUAGUAAAGUAACCAGCAAAGAUGGAAACACAAGUUUUGGUGAUACUGGUGAACCUUUGUUUCAUCAUGGCGAGGAUGCAGAAGGAUUCCAUUACGCCGCUGGAAAAACCUACAUUUAUCCUUCCAAUUAUCCCGUCAGAAGGUAUCAGGCUGAUAUUGUUCCUACGGCAUUAUUCCACAACACGCUUGUCAGUCUACCGACAGGUCUGGGCAAAACGUUCAUCGCGGCGGUUGUGAUGUACAACUUCUACCGAUGGUAUCCAAUGGGCAAAGUGAUAUUUAUGGCCCCCACUCGGCCUCUGGUCACCCAACAGCUCAGUGCCUGUCGCGACAUCAUGGGCAUUCCAGUCGAAGACACCGUUGAACUAACCGGUUCAACACAUGCUGAAAAUAGGAAAGCGUUAUGGACGUCGAAACGUGUGUUCUACCUAACACCGCAAGUUCUAAUGAACGAUCUGAGAAGCAACCUCCUGCAAGCGUCCGCCAUUAAAUGUCUUGUGAUUGAUGAAGCCCACAGAGCUACCAAAGGAUACGCCUAUUGUCAAGUUGUCAAAAUAUUGUACGAAGAGAAUGUGAAGUUUCGUAUAUUGGCUCUAUCAGCAACACCGGGCACUGAUGCAAAUGCUGUGAAAGACGUUAUACAAAAUCUACACAUAGAAAAACUCGAGAUACGAAGCGAAGACAGUGAGGAUGUGGUGGAGUAUUCCCACCAAAAAUCCGUCAUACCAAUUAUCGUGGAUCUUCCAGCUUUUCUGCGAGAUAUAUGGAGUCAGUACAUGCAGGUCUAUGACAACUACGUUCGGAGAAUCAGAGAUCUCAAAAUUUUCAAUCAAAAUGUGGCAACAAUGAGCAAAUUUCAGAUGUUAACGGCGUACAGGAAGUUCACAUCUCGUCCACCAUCCACCCUUCCGCAUAAUGUGGUGCAGAGUUUGAAUGGUGACUUCACAAGCUGCAUAACCCUGGCGCAUGGCAGAGAACUGUUGCAAACUUAUGGCCUACGUACAUUCCAUUCUUAUUUUCACAGAUGCUGAAAACUCGAACGAUAAGGCAGCUUCUAUAACAAGAUUGAGUCACGAUAAAGAUUUCAGAAAACUGCUUGGUACAAUUGAGGAAAUUAUAUUCAAGGAAGACAACGGAGACAGUAGGCUGUACAAUUGGAG